AGACUAGAGUGCGGUAGGGGAGAUUGGAAUUCCUGGUGUAGCGGUGGAAUGCGCAGAUAUCAGGAGGAACACCGAUGGCGAAGGCAGAUCUCUGGGCCGUUACUGACGCUGAGGAGCGAAAGGGUGGGGAGCAAACAGGCUUAGAUACCCUGGUAGUCCACCCCGUAAACGUUGGGAACUAGUUGUGGGGUCCAUUCCACGGAUUCCGUGACGCAGCUAACGCAUUAAGUUCCCCGCCUGGGGAGUACGGCCGCAAGGCUAAAACUCAAAGGAAUUGACGGGGACCCGCACAAGCGGCGGAGCAUGCGGAUUAAUUCGAUGCAACGCGAAGAACCUUACCAAGGCUUGACAUACACCAGAACGCCCUAGAAAUAGGGAACUCUUUGGACACUGGUGAACAGGUGGUGCAUGGUUGUCGUCAGCUCGUGUCGUGAGAUGUUGGGUUAAGUCCCGCAACGAGCGCAACCCUCGUUCUAUGUUGCCAGCACGUAAUGGUGGGAACUCAUGGGAUACUGCCGGGGUCAACUCGGAGGAAGGUGGGGAUGACGUCAAAUCAUCAUGCCCCUUAUGUCUUGGGCUUCACGCAUGCUACAAUGGCCGGUACAAAGGGCUGCAAUACCGUGAGGUGGAGCGAAUCCCAAAAAGCCGGUCCCAGUUCGGAUUGAGGUCUGCAACUCGACCUCAUGAAGUCGGAGUCGCUAGUAAUCGCAGAUCAGCAACGCUGCGGUGAAUACGUUCCCGGGUCUUGUACACACCGCCCGUCAAGUCAUGAAAGUCGGUAACACCUGAAGCCGGUGGCCCAACCCUUGUGGAGGGAGCUGUCGAAGGUGGGAUCGGUAAUUAGGACUAAGUCGUAACAAGGUAAA
rnacentral:rRNA from 1 species